GAUGAACGCUGGCGGCGUGCCUAAUACAUGCAAGUCGAGCGAUGCGGGGACGGGUGCGUAACACGUGGCUAACCUCCUAUAAGGCUGGGCUAACUUCGGGAAACCGGAGCUAAACCGGAUGCUUCUAGUUGGAUCAGCGCUGCAUUAGCUAGUUGGUACGGUAACGGAUUCCCAAGGCAACGAUGCAGAGCCGACCUGAGAGGGUGAUAGGCCAAACUGGAACUGAGACACGGUCCAGACUCCGACGGGAGGCAGCAGUAGGGAAUCUUCCGCAAUGGGCGAAAGCCUGACGGGGCAACGCGGCGUGAGUGAUGAAGGUCUUCGGAUCGUAAAACUCUGUUAGUAGGGAAGCGGUACCUAAUCAGAAAGCCACGGCUAACUACGUGCCAGCCGCCGCGGUAAUUC
rnacentral:rRNA from 1 species